AUGCGGCAUCGGAGGGCCUCUCAGAGAGAUCGCCAGAUUCAGGGGGACUUCAUGGGCAUGCCGUUCCCCGACGACACAUUCGACGCGGCCUACGCGAUCGAGGCGACGUGCCACGCCCCUGACGAGGUUGGGUGCUACAGGGAGAUCAACCGUGUGCUCCGACCCGGGCAACCGAUGGCAUUCUAUGAGUGGUGCAUGACGGAGCGGUUCGACCCGGGAAACCGCCGGCACGUGAUCUGCGUCAAGGACGUGGCGGAGGACUCUGCGGUGCGGUGGUACCAGCCCCUGGACCCGGACGCCGGCGCGUCGUGGACGACCGCCAACGGCUUCCGGCUCAGCUGCGUCGGGCGCCUCGUCACCCGCGGCAUGGUGAACAGGGAAGAGAUCUUCACGCCCAUGUUCUUCGUGCUGGCUCCCAAGAAACCCAACCUGACAGGGACUGGACAUCUGAAGUAUUAUAUGCCUAUUUCUUUGGUUGCCAUCUCCUGGAACUACCUAUCCUUUUUUUUGCGGAGUAUCUAA
rnacentral:rRNA from 1 species